UGGGGAAUAUUGGGCAAUGGGCGAAAGCCUGACCCAGCAACGCCGCGUGAGGGAAGAAGGCCUUCGGGUUGUAAACCUCUGUCCUUAGUGACGAAGGAAGUGACGGUAGCUAAGGAGGAAGCCCCGGCUAACUACGUGCCAGCAGCCGCGGUAAUACGUAGGGGGCGAGCGUUGUCCGGAAUUACUGGGCGUAAAGGGUGCGUAGGCGGUACUUUAAGUUGGAUGUGAAAUCCCCGGGCUUAACCUGGGGCCUGCAUCCAAUACUGGAGAACUAGAGUGCAGGAGAGGGAAGCGGAAUUCCUAGUGUAGCGGUGAAAUGACGUAGAUAUUAGGAAGAA
rnacentral:rRNA from 1 species